rnacentral:rRNA from 1 species
CAGUCGCCGCGGUAAUACGAGGGGGGCAAGCGUUGUUCGGAAUUAUUGGGCGUAAAGGGUGCGUAGGCGGUUUGGCAAGUUUGGUGUGAAAUCUUCGGGCUCAACUCGAAGUCUGCAUCGAAAACUGCCGGGCUUGAGUAUGGGAGAGGUGAGUGGAAUUUCCGGUGUAGCGGUGAAAUGCGUAGAUAUUCGGAAGAACACCAGUGGCGAAGGCGGCUCACUGGCUCAUACUGGACGCUGAGGUGCGAAAGCGUGGGGAACAAACAGGAUUAGAUACCCGCGUAGUCCCUGUCUCUUAUAC